rnacentral:rRNA from 1 species
AUUGAACGCUGCGGCAGGCUUAACACAUGCAAGUCGAGCGAGCGGAGGACGGGUGAGUAAUGCUUAGGGAUCUGCCUAUUAGUGGGGGACAACAUCUCGAAAGGGAUGCUAAUACCGCAUACUAAUAGAUGAGCAUAAGUCGGAUUAGCAAGGUGGUGGGGUAAAGGCCUACCAAGGCGACGAUCGGUAGCGUGUCUGAGAGGAGGAUCCGCCACACUGGGACUGAUACACGGCCCCGACUCCUACGGGAAGCAGCAGUGGGGAAUAGUGGACAAUGGGGGGAACCCUGAUCCAGCCAUGCCGCGUGUGUGAAGAAGGCCUUAUGGUUGUAAAGCACUUUAAGCGAGGAGGCGUUACUCGCAGAAUAAGCACCGGCUAACUCUGUGCCAGCAGCCGCGGUAAUAC